rnacentral:rRNA from 3 species
GAUUUCUGGCCUGAAGUAUUUUGCCGGCCACGGUUUCGUGUGUUAGUGCUUGAUACUCUGGCCAUCCUUCCAAUCGCUGCGUACUUCUCUUCAUUGAUUAGUGCGUGGUAUUGGAUCUUUUACUUUGAAAAAAUUAGAGUGUUCAAAGCAGGCUUUUGCUAUGAAUAGAUUAGCAUGGAAUAAUAAUUUAGGACUUCGGUUCUAUUUUGUUGGUUUCUAGGACUGAAGUAAUGAUUGAUAGGGAUAGUUGGGGGUGCUAGUAUUCAGCGGCCAGAGGUGAAAUUCUCGGAUUCGCUGAAGACUAACUUAUGCGAAAGCAUU